rnacentral:rRNA from 1 species
UAGGGAAUAUUAGUAAUGGGCGAAAGCCUGAACUAGCAACGCCGCGUGUGCGAAGAAGGCCUUCGGAUUGUAAAGCACUUUUUGAGAGGAUGAGGAAGGACGGUACUCUCAGAAUAAGUCUCAGCUAACUACGUGCCAGCAGCCGCGGUAACACGUAGGAGGCAAACGUUAUCCGGAUUUACUGGGCGUAAAGCGCGUGUAGGUGGUUUGGUAAGUAGGGCGUGAAAGCUCCUGGCUCAACUGGGAGAGGACGUUCUAAACUGCCAAGCUUGAGGAUGGUAGAGGGAGGUGGAAUUCCGGGUGUAGCGGUGGGAUGCGCAGAUAUCCGGAGGAACACCAGUGGCGAAGGCGGCCUCCUGGACCACUCCUGACACUCAGACGCGAAAGCUAGGGUAGCAAACGG